rnacentral:lncRNA from 1 species
UCCACGUCCGUUCCACAUCUUCAUCGCUCGUAGGCCUCACGUGUUCAACGUGCAUCCAGCCGCGCGUUCACAUUCGUGUGCGCCAUCCAACUUGAGCUCAGCCACGCAUCCUUGCAUGUGUUCGUGCUGCACUUAGCAUCCUGAUGCUUUCACAUUCGUGCACAAAACCACUUGGUCUCAACUGUGCACCCAAUCCAGCG